AAGAAAAUCCUUAAUUUUUCGAAAAAUUCAAAGUUUUGUAAACAGGAAAUUUAAAAAAAUGACCACAUUAUUGAUAUUCAUGUCAACACCGAAAUGUUGACUACUGGGCUGGUGAUACCCUUGGGGACGAAACGUCCACCAGCAGUGGCAUCGACCCAGUGGUUUAAAUAGUUAUCAAAAGUACCAGGAUUAUAAUUUAGUACGCCAGACGCGCGUUUCGUCUACAUAAGACUCAUCAGUGACGCUCAAAUCGAAAUAUUGAUAAAGCCAAACAUGUACAAAGUUGAAGAGCAUUGAGGAUCCAAUAUUCCAAAAAGUUGUGCCAAAUACGGCUAAGGUAAUCUAUGCCUGGAAUAAGAAAAUUCUUAGUUUUACGAAAAAUUCAAAGUUUUGUAAACAGGAAAUUUAAAAAAAUGACCACAUUAUUGAUAUUCAUGUCAACACCGAAAUGUUGACUACUGGGCUGGUGAUACCCUCAGGGACGAAACGUCCACCAGCAGUGGCAUCGACCCAGUGGUUUAAAUAGUUAUCAAAAGUACCAGGAUUAUAAUUUAGUACGCCAGACGCGCGUUUCGUC
rnacentral:lncRNA from 1 species